UAUUUAAAUCAACUUUGGUUACUAAUUAAACCACAAAGAAUAACGAAAUCCUAACAUGCAGAACAUCACACGGUAAAUUCAUUUGAUUAUCAUAAAUUUAUCAUCGACGAUUUCGAUUUAAGCCAUCAGAAUUACCUUUUUCAAACCGUUGAGUUUUUAUUGGGUAGGACAAAAAUAUUUCUUAAUUGAAGAGAGAAGGAUUACCGUAAAUGAUAUUGUGUACUGAAAAUUCUUUAAUAACUGAAAACGUAAGCCCAUUAAGUUUUCUUAAACUUAAUGGGCCCAAUUAAAAAGUUGUUUUAAUUUUGAAUUCUUCACUCUAAAUUACAGAUCUAUCUCACUUUUAAAAAAAUUCCAAAAACGCCGAUCUCCCACUCGCAAGCAAUGAACGCCGAUCUAGUAAAUCUCCAUGCACUUAAUCUACAUGACAUAGUUUUCGGGAAUGCAGAUCGAAAAUUCCACACCGAUUCCUAACGAUAGCGAGGCUGUGUGGAGGGUAGACAAUAAGUGGAUACUAGACCUCAACGAAUGGAUGGAGUCCAGCAUCCCAAGAACCCUCUCAGAUGAUACACAUGCAAGUUUAACUACGGGUAUCACUAAGUUCAAUAUGUAUAAAUUAUUUUAGUUUUCAGAUUCAAAACGUGAUGGAACACUUACACAUGUUAUUAUUAGAUGACUCUGCUAAAUACUAUUAUCUUGAAUAAAUGAUUUAGUAAGCAGUAAGAUUUAAAAAUGAGUGUACCUAUAAAACUCGGCGAAAAAGAUCAUUGUCACUUAUGUAGUCAAUCAACUUAACAACCUGUAAUCAUUAAAAAAAGACUAUUAUUAGUAUCAAGGCAAAGGGUCAUCAACCUGUAAGAAUAAAAUAACUGGUUAUCACUAAGUUCAAUAUGUGUCAUUAAGUUCAAUUUUUUUUAAUAAAAUACAGAUUGUCACUCGGAUACAACUACACAGGCACUACAAUGUUUGUGCAAUACCUUUUCGAGGAAGGAUUAGUUUGAUUCAUUAAGUUUAAUAUUUUUUUUAAUAUGUGGUUUCGAGUUUGAACUAAAAAUAUGUUUUUGAAUUCCACAAGGAACAGUGAGGAAGGUUACUUGUAUUCCCUUGAAUGUCAAGAAGAAUCUGAACAACUGAUUAAAGCUUCCCAACUUUUAUUGUUGUUAUGAUAUAAAUUAUGUAAUUGUUCAGAACUCAUAAGCAAAACAAUUACUCUCCGUUUCAAAAAAAAAUGUAUGCUUUGAACUAAACUUUAGUUAUAAAUAAAUUAUUUUGUGAUUAA